rnacentral:snoRNA from 1 species
AUCCUUUUGUAGUUCAUAAGCGUGAUGAUUGGGUUUUCACACGCAUGCGUGAGAUGUGCCUCCCUCAAUCCUUCUUACGAUGUGGGCACAUUACCUGUCUGACU